rnacentral:ncRNA from 1 species
UCUUAUAAAGAGAGGUGGAGGGACUGGCCCUGUGAAACCUCGGCAACCAUUGACAAUGUCAAACGGUGCCAAUUCCAGCAGAUUUAUUUUUUAAAAUCUGAAAUAUAAGA